UGGGGAAUGCAGCUUACAAAAAAAAGGAUUUCGAGACUGCAAUUGCGCAUUACACGAAGGCAAUGGAGCUUGACGACGAGGAUAUUUCAUAUUUGACAAAUCGUGCUGCUGUUUAUCUUGAGAUGGGCAAGGUAAAACAUAUGUUGUUUUUAGUUUAAUUUGAGUUUGUGUAUAUUUGCUUUGAUUGAAAGUUAAGUUUAUAGAGAAUUUAGGAAUUGCAUGUAUUUUUCUUGCAUUUUAUGCUACAGCUUCUAUUUCUUUUAUGUUAAUCUAGAGCUUAGGCUGGUUUUGCUUCAUUUUAAUUAUUAAUACUGUCUUGAAAAAUUCCCCUUGCAUGCUAUUUCGAAUUUGCUUAGACCGACUAAUAAACCUUUUUUUAGUGAAAGGGUGCCUGGAUUGAAUGCUCUAUUUCUUGGACGCAGGCAUUAGACAUAAUACUUGGAUCAACUCAUAAUUUCCUGCUGAAUCAGUACAUAUGUUCAAUUUUAUUAAUGUUGUUAUAUGUCCCAUAAAAUUUUAGUGUUGCUAUCAGAUGGGGAUAUCUUUUUCUAGAUAUGUGUAGAACUUGCUUUCAUCUUGCAAAGCCUUUUGGGUUGCGUGGCAUUCAUGAUUUGAGUUACAAGCACAUGAUUUUGGCCAGGUUUCUUUCAAUAGUUUUCUACUUGUUAGUCUAAGUGAGGCACCUAGUUAUCAAAAUCUGUUACCAUCCUAACAACAAAUCAUUGGGUAAUGAUAAGAUAUUGUGCUUGUGAAAUAGAGUACAAGAUUUUUCAUUGUCAAUUUUGGGAGUUUGAAUCUUUGAUAUGGUGGUUGAAUAUCUUGAUCCUUACCAUUUAUUUUGUUUUAUUUUUAUUGAAACUUUAAUUUGUCAAAUUCUUGAAGUAAUCAAAAUGUUUUGUUUAUUCAUCAACCUAUAAAUCCUUUUCUGGUCCAACUGCUCUACAAUUUUAGUACGAGGAAUGUAUAGAAGACUGUGAUAAAGCUGUUGAGAGGGGUAGAGAACUUAGAUCAGACUUCAAGAUGAUUUCAAGAGCCUUGACAAGGAAGGGAACUACCUUGGUGAAAAUUGCAAAAUGCUCAAAAGACUAUGAUCUUGCCAUUGAGACAUUCCAGAAAGCUCUUACUGAGCACCGCAACCCAGACACAUUGAAGAAACUAAAUGAUGCGGAGAGGGCAAAGAAGGAACUUGAGCAACAAGAAUACUUUGAUCCAAAGUUGGCUGAUGAGGAGCGUGAGAAAGGCAAUGAAUAUUUCAAACAACAAAAGUAUCCAGAGGCUGUGAAACAUUAUACAGAAUCCUUGAGAAGAAACCCCAAAGAUCCUAAGGCAUACAGUAAUAGAGCUGCAUGUUACACUAAAUUGGGGGCUUUACCUGAGGGAUUAAAGGAUGCAGAGAAGUGUAUUGAGCUUGAUCCAACUUUUUCAAAGGGUUAUACAAGAAAAGGUGCCAUCCAAUUUUUCAUGAAAGAGUACGACAAGGCUUUGGAAACAUACCAGGAAGGUCUUAAACAUGAUCCUCAGAACCAGGAAUUGCUUGAUGGCGUGAGAAGGUAUGUGACAUGAGUCUAUCACGUUUAAAUUGGUUUUAGGAAUUAAAUGUGGUAGUUGAAAAUGUUAGAUCAUGCUCUUAAUUAUAUUGCAGAUGUGUGGAACAACUUAACAAGGCAAGCCGUGGUGAUAUAAGCCCAGAGGAAUUGAAAGAGAGACAGGUUAGUCCUUUUAUGCUUCUUUUCACAUAGAUUAUGCCUGGGAAUUAGCUUUGGUUGCGUGAAAGAUUGAACGCCAUAUGGAGCAUGGUCUAAAGUUUGUUCCAUCUUGCAGGCCAAGGCAAUGCAGGAUCCAGAGAUUCAGAACAUUCUCUCAGAUCCUGUAAUGAGACAGGUAAGAAUUCCAAGUUUCAUAUUUAUUUUGUUGGCUUUUCAUUGUCCAUUCAUCAAUUCCUGAAUUGUGAAAUCCCAAAUGGUUGCUUGCUUGCGUGGUAAUGUUGUUGUUGGCUGAAUUUUGCAGGUGUUGGUAGACAUUCAAGAAAAUCCCAAGGCAGCUCAGGAGCAUACGAAGAACCCCAUGGUGAUGAAUAAGAUUCAGAAGCUCGUCAAUGCAGGAAUAGUCCAGAUCCGAUAGAGUCAAGGCAAAGAACCGAUUCCAUUAUCGUGUAGUUUUUUCAUUGCUGAAAUGUAAUCUAGUGUGUGGAUUGUUUGAUAAAACUAUUCAAGUUGGAAAAAUUUUGAAUGUUUCUUUUUGUUAAAAUAUUCACGUUUAGAGAUGUUUUUUCUGUUUCACGGUUAGGGUGUAAGUUGAGAACAAUUUUUGCGCGCUGAGACUCUCAGCGCGAUUGCACGCUUCUUUACUUACUAUUAAGAAAUAGCACUUUUUGGAAGUAUAUUAAUUAAAAAAAUAUGUUGAAAGUAAUUUAAAAUUAUAUUUGAUAAUUUUUAGAUAUAAAAAAUA
rnacentral:misc_RNA from 1 species